CCCUACCCACCACGACACAGCACCCGACCUCCUCUUCCUCAUCCUCCGCCUCCAACCAGCACCUAACUACUCUCUGCAUCGGCCUCCGUCUCCACUCUCCUCCUUCUCUGCCUCCGUCUCCGUUCUCCUCCUUCUCCUCCUCCGACACACCUCUUCUCUCAUCUUUCUUCUCAAAUCCACCAAUGAUGCAGUCCAUGCCGGAGCUCCACCUUGUUCCCUCGUCGAGCCCGCCAUGGAAGAUAAGACCUAACAUUCAAGACAAGGCUCGCCGUCGAUUCAGGAAUACCUUGUUACAGCAUCCAAGAACCAGAUCUUGUAUGUCUUCUUCAGUUCCCCUAGACUCCGGGACUUCUGCUACUAUGCCAAUACGAUCUUUUUGGUUGACCUUCUUCUAUAUCCAAGGAAUGAAAAGUUUUUCAUGGUUUGUUUCUCAUUUGCUGAGGGGCCAUUAGCAUGGGCACUGAUUGUUUGGCAUUGUAGCUUGGUUUUUAGUUCACUUGACAAAUUAGUCAGUGUCCUGAUACAUCUUUUACCUGUCCCACAGGUUCUGUAGCAUGUGUGGUAUCUCUGGACAUAUAUGAGAUCGGAGAGAGCUUCCAUUAUGGUGGGUUGGUUUUCUUCACUAUUCGAUGGUGGGAUCCAGCAACAUGUGCAGCCAUGCAUCUUGAAGGAUCUUCUGCCAGAGCUUCUUGGCCUUAUGUAGAAAGCAAAACUUAUCUGUGGACAUGGUUGUUUGUGGUGCCCCUGGUCGCAUACUCCCUCUGGCAGCUUUUGUAUUUUCUCAUUGUCAACGUUUUACGCCGACAAAGGCUGUUAAGGGAUCCUGAAGUGAUGACUUCUUACAGAGAACUCUCGAAGAAGGCGCAAAAAGCAAACAAUUUGUGGUGGCGCUUAAGCGGUUUGCUUGGGGAUCAAAAUCGAUUGUUUAUGUAAAUUGUUCAAAUAGUCAGAUAGCACAGAACUCUUGGAUGGCUGCUAAUGUUGAUAAUCCCAAUGUUAGCUCAUCACAAUUGAUCUUGGUCUACCUGUCGAUUGGAUUUUCUGCAACAUUUAUUUUACUGAUCAGAUCUCUGUUAACAGUUGGUUUGGGUCUUGAGGCAUCAAGGGCUUUAUUUUCUCAGCUACUAAACUCUCUAUUUCAUGCACCCAUGUCUUUCUAUGACUCAACGCCUCUGGGAAGGAUACUAAGUCGGCUUUCAUCUGAUCCAAGUAUCGUAGAUCUUGAUAUUCCAUUCAGCCUUGUCUUUGCUUGUGGAGCUACCAUAAAUGCUUACUCCAAUCUUGGAAUACUAGCUGCUGUUACAUGGUAAGUCCUGUUUGUUUCCAUACCAAUGGUCUUUCUGGCAAUUCAGCUACAGAAAUAUUACUUUUCCACUGCAAAGGAGUUGAUGAGGAUCAAUGGAACAACCAAGUCUUUUGUAGCAAAUCAUCUAGCAGAGUCUGUAUCAGGCGCCAUUACAAUAAGAGCUUUCAAUGAAGAAGAGCGCUUCUUGGCAAAGAAUUUUCACCUCAUUGACACAAAUGCUAGCCCAUUUUUUUCAUAGUUUUGCAGCAAAUGAGUGGUUGAUUCAACGGUUAGAAAUAAUUUGCGCAGCAGUUCUCGCCUCUACAGCACUCUGUAUGGUUUUGCUUCCAACUGGAACUUUUAGCUCUGGGUUUAUUGGAAUGGCGCUUUCUUAUGGUCUUUCAUUAAACAUGUCAUUGAUCUAUUCAAUUCAAAACUAGUGCACUAUAAGGAGACUCAAAACAUGGAUCAAUUAAAGGCAGACUCAAAACAUGGAUGAAUAUUUUCUGGGAUGAUGGGGUUGGAUGCCAAACUGAAAAUUCUUACUGCAGCAAAUCUGAUAUAAAGAGCAUAAAGGUGAGGCUAGGGGUGAUUAAGAAGAAGAGGAACGUUUUGCUGAAGUAUCUGAAGAAUAAUGUUGCUGUUCUUCUCAAGAUUGGCCUUGAUAUUAAUGUAUAUGGAGGGUUAAGUUUCAUGGCUCAUUAGUUUUAAUGUAUAUGAUGUGUCAAUUUCAUCAUUGUUUUGC